UACGUAGGGGGCUAGCGUUGUCCGGAUUUAUUGGGCGUAAAGAGCGUGUAGGCGGCCAGGUAGGUCUGCUGUGAAAACUCGAGGCUCAACCUCGAGACGUCGGCGGAAACCAUCUGGCUAGAGUCCGGAAGAGGAGAGUGGAAUUCCUGGUGUAGCGGUGAAAUGCGCAGAUAUCAGGAAGAACACCCGUGGCGAAGCGGCUCUCUGGGACGGUACUGACGCUGAGACGCGAAAGCGUGGGGAGCGAACAGG
rnacentral:rRNA from 1 species